UCUCCUGUAGCUCUGUGGUAGAGCGUCGACCGGUGAACGGCGGAAGGUCAUAGGUUCGACUCCUGUUGCAUGGGGGAA